rnacentral:rRNA from 1 species
AGUGAACGCUGGCGGUAGGCCUAACACAUGCCAGUCGAACGGCAGCACCGUAAGAGCUUGCUCUUACGGGUGGCGAGUGGCGGACGGGUGAGGAAUACAUCGGAUUCUACUUUUUCGUGGGUGAUAACGUAGGGAAACUUACGCUAAUACCGCAUACGACCUACGGGUGAAAGCAGGGGAUCUUCGGACCUUGCGCGAUUGAAUGAGCCGAUGUCGGAUUAGCUAGUUGGCGGGGUAAAGGCCCACCAAGGCGACGAUCCGUAGCUGGUCUGAGAGGAUGAUCAGACACACUGGAACUGAGACACGGUACAGACUCCUACGGGAGGCAGCAGUGGGGAAUAUUGGACAAUGGGCGCAAGCCUGAUCCAGCCAUACCGCGUGGGUGAAGAAGGCCUUCGGGUUGUAAAGCCCUUUUGUUGGGAAAGAAAAGCAGCAGGUUAAUACCCCGCUGUUCUGACGGUACCCAAAGAAUAAGCACCGGCUAACUUCGUG